GGCUUGGGUAUGUCCUUAUCAGCAGCAUGAAAAUGGACUAAUACAAAUAUGCUGAGUUAAGUCCUGGACAAGAAACACUUUGCCAACCUCUGGACUAGACUGAGUAAAGCAAGCAGAAAGAUCCAAUUUUAAAAAGAGGUGAGGAAAAUGGGACAACUUGGCUAUGGAGAGAGCAAGAAGAAUGCAACUGAUGUGCACAAAGUUUGAAGACAAAGUUACUCAGUUUAGAUCAGGGGUCCACAACCCCCAGCCAUGGACCAGUACUGAUUUGUGGCCUGUUAGGAACUCAGUUGCAGUAGGAGGUGAAUGCCAGGUGAGUGAGGGAAGCUUCAACUUUAUUUAAA
rnacentral:lncRNA from 1 species